UGUUGCCAGUGACUUUAUGCCUUAGCAAC
rnacentral:piRNA from 1 species